rnacentral:rRNA from 1 species
AUGAGAACAUUGUGGUGUUUAUGUACGAUGACAUCGCCGACAACCCUGACAACCCAAGGCGUGGAGUCGUCAUCAACCAUCCUAAAGGACUACACUGGCGAGCAGGUCACUGCUAAGAACUUGUACGCGGUUCUCUUGGGGAACAAAACCGCGGUUACUGGAGGGAGUAGGAAGGUGAUAAACAGCAAACCAAAUGAUCACAUCUUUAUCUACUACACGGAUCAUGGGUCUCCUGGUUCACUUGGCAUGCCCAACGGACCAAAUGUUUAUGCUGACGACUUCAUCAAAGUGUUGCGGCAAAAGCAUGCUUCCAAAAGCUAUUCGAAAAUGAUCAUAUAUGUUGAAGCGUGUGAAAGUGGCAGCAUCUUUGAGGGUUUGUUGCCACAAGAUCUUAAUAUUUAUGUUACAACGGCAGCAAAUGCGGUAGAAAGUAGCUGGGCAGCAUACUGCCCUGGGAUGGAAAUGCCACCUCCACCUGAAUAUGAUACAUGUUUAGGUGACUUAUACAGUGUUUCUUGGAUGGAGGACAGUGAAACUCACAAUCUAAAGAAGGAAACAAUCAAGCAGCAGUACGAGGUAGUUAAAGCGAGAACGGCACCCCUGAAUGAGUCUAGUAUAGGUUCUCAUGUCAUGGAGUAUGGUGACAAGACAUUCAAGGGUGACAUGCUUUUCCUCUAUCAAGGUUUCGAUCCUGCAAAGUUAAACAUCAGAAAUAGGCCGCUGCCUACGCCCAGCCUCAAGGGUGCAAUCAAGCAAAGAUACGCCGAUAUUCUUUUCAUGUGGAAGAAGUAUGAGAAGUUGAAUGUGGGAUCGGAAGAGAAGCUGAGGGCCCUCAGGGAGGUCAAAGAAACCGUUCUACACAGGAAGCAUCUAGACAGCAGUAUCGAUUUCAUCGGGAAGCUUGUCUUUGGAUUCGAAAAGGGGUCUUCAGUGCUUGGGGCUGUUAGAGGCUCGGGCCAGCCAUUAGUCGACGAUUGGGAUUGUCUGAAGAUCAUGCUGAGUGCAACAAUUCCUUAUUUGAAUCCCAUGAACAUGCAACACCCUCCACUCUUUGUGUUUCUGAUAGAACUUACUCUGCUAUACUGA